rnacentral:rRNA from 1 species
AGAACGAACGCUGGCGGCAGGCUUAACACAUGCAAGUCGAGCGCUGUAGCAAUACAGAGCGGCAGACGGGUGAGUAACGCGUGGGAACAUACCCUCCGGUUCGGAAUAACUCAGGGAAACUUGAGCUAAUACCGAAUACGGUCGAGAGGCGAAAGAUUUAUCGCCGGAGGAUUGGCCCGCGUUCGAUUAGCUAGUUGGCGGGGUAAUGGCCCACCAAGGCGACGAUCGAUAGCUGGUCUGAGAGGAUGAUCAGCCACAUUGGGACUGAGACACGGCCCAAACUCCUACGGGAGGCAGCAGUGGGGAAUAUUGGACAAUGGGCGCAAGCCUGAUCCAGCCAUGCCGCGUGAGUGAUGACGGCCUUAGGGUGUAAGCUCUUUCGCUAGGGACGAUAAUGACGGUACCUAGACAAGAACGCCCCGGCUAACUUCGUGCCAGCAGCCGC